CGGAGCGUAGCAUAGUGGUUUAAUGCGCUGCCUUCGGGAGGCAGAGAACGUGGGUUCAAAUCCCACCGCUCCGA
rnacentral:tRNA from 2 species